AAAUCUAUUUAUUAUGACGACAUUUUCAUUUACUAAAGAAACCUGUUAAUUAAUUGAUAAACCACAAUAACUUUUACUUAAAUUUAAAAUUUAUAUACCGUCAUAUAAGAACUAAUUUAAAAUUAUUAUUCAAUAUAAAAACUAAUAAAUUAGAUCAAGGUGUAAUUUAUAUUUAAGAUAUAAUGGGUUGCAUUAAACAUUACUUAAGAACUAAAUUUUUAAAAAUUUUACAAAAUAGGAUUUAACAACAAUAUAAAAAUAAUAAUUUUAUAUGANAUUUUUUAAAAAUGUGUACACAUCGCCC
rnacentral:rRNA from 1 species